rnacentral:rRNA from 1 species
CGUCAAGCGAGGAUGGGCGCACGGUGGAUGCCUUGGCGUCAGGAGCCGACGAAGGACGCUGCCGGCGGCGAAAGGUCCGGGGAGCUGCCGAGCAAGCUGCGAUCCGGACGUCUCCGAAUGGGGAAACCCGGCGGGGGUCAUGCCCCGUCACCCACCGCGGAAUCCAUAGGCGGUGCGGAGGGAACCCGGGGAACUGAAACAUCUCAGUACCCGGAGGAAAAGAAAUCAACCGAGAUUCCCUGAGUAGUGGCGAGCGAAAGGGGAGGUAGCCCAAACCCCGCGGGUGCCAAGCCCGCAGGCGUUGCCCGCGGGGGGUUGUGGGACGCGGUCGGACCGGGCUGCGGACCGGUCGGGAAGUUACCAAUCCCCUCUCUAGGCGAACCGCCCUGGAACGGCGGGCCAAAGAGGGUGACAGCCCCGUAGCCGAAAGGGAGGGGACUUCCUGGGCCGCGCUCCCGAGUACCACGGGACACGUGGAACCCCGUGGGAAGCCGGGGGGACCACCCUCCAAGGCUAAAUACUCCUGACGACCGAUAGCGCACCAGUACCGUGAGGGAAAGGUGAAAAGAACCCCGGGAGGGGAGUGAAAUAGAGCCUGAAACCGUGGGCUUACAAGCAGUCGGAGGGCUAUGCCGGUCCCGCAAGGGACCGGGAUGCCUGACGGCGUGCCUAUUGAAGAAUGAGCCUGUGAGUUGUCGCGUGUGGCGAGCCUAAGGCCUUCGGGCCGGAGGCGCAGGGAAACCGAGUCUGAACAGGGCGCCGCUCCCGGAAGGGAGGGCGAGGGGGACCUCGCCAGUCGCACGCGGCAGACCCGAAACCGGGUGAGCUACCCAUGGCCAGGGUGAAGCGCGGCUAACCCCGCGUGGAGGCCCGAACCCGUCGGUGUUGCAAAACCGUGGGAUGAGCUGUGGGUAGGGGUGAUAUGCCAAUCGAACCCGGAGAUAGCUGGUUCUCCCCGAAAUGCAUUGAGGUGCAGCCCCGGUGCGGAGCGCCGCGGAGGUAGAGCACUGGAUGGGCUAGGGCGGAAGAAUCCGUACCGAACCCAACCAAACUCCGAAUGCCGCGGCGUGCUCGCCGGGAGUGAGACGGUGGGGGAUAAGCUCCAUCGUCGAGAGGGGAACAGCCCAGACCGUCGGCUAAGGUCCCUAAGUCCCAGCUCAGUGGGAAAGGAAGUGGCACCGCCCAGACAGCCGGGAGGUUGGCUUAGAAGCAGCCAUCCUUUAAAGAGUGCGUAAUAGCUCACCGGUCGAGUGGUGCUGCGCCGAAAACGUAACGGGGCUAAGCUGGGCACCGAAGCCACGGGUUCGGCGCGGGCGCGGCUCGCGCCGAGCGGUAGGGGAGCGUUCUGCCGUAGGGGGAAGCCGGACCGUGAGGACCGGUGGACGAGGCAGAAGUGAGAAUGCAGGCAUGAGUAGCGAAAAGGCGGGUGAGAAUCCCGCCCCCCGUAAGCCUAAGGGUUCUUACGGAAGGUUCGUCCGCGUAAGGUUAGGCGGGAGCUAAGGCGAGGCCGAAAGGCGUAGCCGAUGCACAGCCGGUCGACAUUCCGGCCCCGCUCGGAGUUCGUUACGAGCCGCGGAGGGACGCAGAAGGGUAGCUCUACCGGCGACCGGAAGUGCCGGGCCAACCGGGUAGGCUGGGGUCCCAGGCAAAUCCGGGACCCCGUUAAGGCCGAGACGGGAGUGCGAGCGGACUUGAAACGUCCGCGAAGGGAGUGAUCCCACGCUGCCGAGAAAAGCUUCGCGGCCAGAACUCCGGGCGCCCGUACCGCAAACCGACACAGGUAGGCGGGCACUGAAGGUGCCAAGGGGCGCGAGGGAACCCUCCUCAAGGAACUCUGCAAGUUGACCCCGUAACUUCGGGAGAAGGGGUGCCCCGGUAGGGUGAGGUGCUCCGCGCACCGAGCCCGAGGGGGCCGCAGAGAAUAGGCCCAAGCGACUGUUUAACAAAAACACAGGUCUCUGCGAAGCCGCAAGGCGACGUAUAGGGGCUGACGCCUGCCCAGUGCCGGAAGGUAAAGGGGAGGGGUUAGCUCGGCCUUCGGGCCGGGCGAAGCUCCAAACCGAAGCCCCGGUGAACGGCGGCGGUAACUAUAACCGUCCUAAGGUAUCGCCGGAAAGGCGCUGCCUGCCCGCCGGGCAACCGGCGGGGCAAUACCUGGCUAUAUGCGGGGAAGCCCUGAGAGCCCUCCCUACGUUUCCGGCUGGACGCC